rnacentral:rRNA from 1 species
AUGGGAACGCGAAGAACCUUACCUAGACUUGACAUCUCCUGAAUAGUGUAGAGAUACAUGAAGCCCGUUCGGGGCAGGAAGACAGGUGGUGCAUGGUUGUCGUCAGCUCGUGUCGUGAGAUGUUGGGUUAAGUCCCGCAACGAGCGCAACCCUUAUUACUAGUUGCUACCAUUAAGUUGAGCACUCUAGUGAGACUGCCCGGGUUAACCGGGAGGAAGGCGGGGAUGACGUCAAAUCAUCAUGCCCCUUAUGUCUAGGGCAACACACGUGCUACAAUGGUGAGUACAGAUAGAUGCGAUACCGCAAGGUGGAGCCAAAACUCUAAAAACUCAUCCCAGUUCGGAUUGUAGGCUGCAACUCGCCUACAUG